UACGUAGGUGGCAAGCGUUGUCCGGAUUUACUGGGUGUAAAGGGCGUGCAGCCGGAGAGACAAGUCAGAUGUGAAAUCCACGGGCUCAACCCGUGAACUGCAUUUGAAACUGUUUCCCUUGAGUGUCGGAGUGGUAAUCGGAAUUCCUUGUGUAGCGGUGAAAUGCGUAGAUAUGUGGAAGAACACCGAUGGCGAAGGCAGCCUCCUGGGACGCAACUGACGCUCAUACACGAAAGCGUGGGGAGCAAACAGG
rnacentral:rRNA from 1 species